rnacentral:rRNA from 1 species
AAUCAACGCUGGCGGCGUGCCUCAGACAUGCAAGUCGAACGAUUAAGACUUCCUUCGGGAAGUGUAUAAAGUGGCGCACGGGUGAGUAACACGUAAGUAAUCUACCUUCGAGUGGGGAAUAACAUCGGGAAACCGAUGCUAAUACCGCAUAAUGCAGCGGCAUCGCAAGAUGACAGUUGUUAAAGGAGCAAUUCGCUUGAAGAGGAGCUUGCGGCAGAUUAGCUAAUUGGUAAGGUAAUGGCUUACCAAGGCUACGAUCUGUAUCCGGUCUAAGAGGACGGUAGGCAACACUGAGACUUAAUAAGGGGGCGGGGUCCUCCGGGAGGCAGCAGUCGGGAAUUUUGGGCAAUGGGCGAAAGCCUGACCCAGCAACGCCGCGUGAGGGAUGAAGUAUUUCGGUAUGUAAACCUCGAAAGAAUGGGAAGAAUAAAUGACGGUACCAUUUAUAAGCUCCGGCUAACUACGUGCCAGCAGCCGCAGUAACAC